rnacentral:rRNA from 1 species
UACGAAGGGGCUAGCGUUGUUCGGAAUUACUGGGCGUAAGCGCGCGCAGGCGGUCCUCAGUCAGAGGUGAAAGCCCAGAGCUCAACUCUGGAAUGGCCUUUGAGACUAGAGGACUUGGGUACGGGAGAGGUGAGUGGAAUUCCGAGUGUAGAGGGUGAAAAUUCGUAGAUAUUCGGAAGAACACCAAGUGGCGAAGGCGGAGCUCGACCU